CGCUGGCGGCGUGCCUAACACAUGCAAGUCAACUUGACUGAAGGAGCAAUCUGACAGUAGAGUGGCGCAAGGGUGCGUAACGCGUAAGUAACUUGCCCCAAGGUAAGGAAUAACGUCGAGAAAUCGGCGCUAAUACCUCAUAAUGCAGCGGAUCCGCAUGGAUAUGUUGUUAAAGGUUUACCGCCUUGGGAUAGGCUUGCGUCUGAUUAGCUAGUUGGUGUGGUAACGGCACACCAAGGCUACGAUCAGUAACUGGUCUGAGAGGAUGAUCAGUCACACUGUAACUGAGACACGGUCCAGACUCCUACGGGAGGCAGCAGUGAGGAAUAUUGGGCAAUGCUCGAAAGAGUGACCCAGCAACGCCGCGUGGAGGAUGAAGGUAUUCUAUAUCGUAAACUCCUGUGAGAGCAGACGAAAGACAGAUUAUUAAUCUGGAUGACUGUAUGCUCAGAGGAAGCCCCGGCUAACUACGUG
rnacentral:rRNA from 1 species